UACGAAGGACCCGAGCGUUAUCCGGAUUUAUUGGGUUUAAAGGGUGCGUAGGCGUCCCUAUAAGUUACGGUUGAAAUCUCCUCGCUCAACGAGGAAACUGGCCGUAAAACUGUAGGGAUUGAGUACACUUGAAGCGGGCGGAAUGUGUCAUGUAGCGGUGAAAUGCUUAGAUAUGACACAGAACACCGAUUGCGAAGGCAGCUCGCUAAAUUGUAACUGACGCUGAGGCACGAAAGCGUGGGGAUCAAAACAGG
rnacentral:rRNA from 1 species